CGGACGGGUGAGUAAUGUCUGGGAAACUGCCUGAUGGAGGGGGAUAACUACUGGAAACGGUAGCUAAUACCGCAUAACGUCGCAAGACCAAAGAGGGGGACCUUCGGGCCUCUUGCCAUCGGAUGUGCCCAGAUGAGAUUAGCUAGUAGGUGGGGUAACGGCUCACCUAGGCGACGAUCCCUAGCUGGUCUGAGAGGAUGACCAGCCACACUGGAACUGAGACACGGUCCAG
rnacentral:rRNA from 1 species